rnacentral:rRNA from 1 species
GUAGCUUGCUACUUUGCUGACGAGCGGCGGACGGGUGAGUAAUGCUUGGGAACAUGCCUUGAGGUGGGGGACAACAGUUGGAAACGACUGCUAAUACCGCAUAAUGUCUACGGACCAAAGGGGGCUUCGGCUCUCGCCUUUAGAUUGGCCCAAGUGGGAUUAGCUAGUUGGUGAGGUAAUGGCUCACCAAGGCGACGAUCCCUAGCUGGUUUGAGAGGAUGAUCAGCCACACUGGGACUGAGACACGGCCCAGACUCCUACGGGAGGCAGCAGUGGGGAAUAUUGCACAAUGGGCGCAAGCCUGAUGCAGCCAUGCCGCGUGUGUGAAGAAGGCCUUCGGGUUGUAAAGCACUUUCAGUCAGGAGGAAAGGUUAACGGUUAAUACCCGUUAGCUGUGACGUUACUGACAGAAGAAGCACCGGCUAACUCCGUGCCAGCAGCCGCGGUAAUACGGAGGGUGCGAGCGUUAAUCGGGAAUUACUGGGCGUAAAGCGUACGCAGGCGGUUUGUUAAG